UACAGAGGGGGCAAGCGUUAUUCGGAAUUAUUGGGCGUAAAGGGCGCGUAGGCGGCCUGGCAAGUGGAAGGUGAAAUCCCUCGGCUUAACCGAGGAACUGCCUCCCAAACUGCUUGGCUUGAGACCGGGAGAGGUGAGUGGAAUUCCCAGUGUAGCGGUGAAAUGCGUAGAUAUUGGGAGGAACACCAGUGGCGAAGGCGAUCUUCUGGACGGAUACUGACGCUGAGGCGCGAAAGCUAGGGGAGCAAACGGG
rnacentral:rRNA from 1 species